rnacentral:rRNA from 1 species
UGGGGAAUCUUGCACAAUGGGGGAAACCCUGAUGCAGCGACGCCGCGUGAGCGAUGAAGGUUUUCGAAUCGUAAAGCUCUGUCCUAUGGGAAGAUAAUGACGGUACCAUGGGAGGAAGCCCCGGCUAACUACGUGCCAGAAGCCGCGGUAAUACGUAGGGGGCGAGCGUUGUCCGGAAUUACUGGGCGUAAAGGGUUCGCAGGCGGAAUGGCAAGUCCGUUGUAAAAGGCGAAGGCUCAACCUUCGUAAGCAUCGGAAACUGUCAAGCUUGAGUGAAGGAGAGGCAAGUGGAAUUCCUAGUGUAGCGGUGGAAUGCGUAGAUAUUAGGAGGAAUACCGGUGGCGAAGGCGACUUGCUGGACUUCAACUGACGCUGAGGAACGAAAGCGUGGGUAGCAAACAGG